rnacentral:rRNA from 1 species
ACUCCUACGGGAGGCAGCAGUGGGGAAUAUUGCACAAUGGGGGAAACCCUGAUGCAGCCAUGCCGCGUGUGUGAAGGUAGGGCCUUCGGGUUGUAAAGCACCUUUCAGUUGGGAGGAAGGUAGUAGUGCAUUAACUUGCGCUUUAGCUUAGCUUUUUAACCGUUAACAGGAAACCNACGGGCAUGAACUCCGGCUGCCAGCAGCCGCGGUAAUACGGAGGGUGCGAGCGUUAAUCGGAAUUACUGGGCGUAAAGCGCAUGCAGGCGGCCUGUUAAGUCAGAUGUGAAAGCCCGGGGCUUAACCUCGGAAUUGCAUUUGAAACUGGCGGACUAGAGUCUUGUAGAGGGGGGUAGAAUUUCAGGUGUAGCGGUGAAAUGCGUAGAGAUCUGAAGGAAUACCAGUGGC